CUGGCCUUGACAUCCUGCGAACUUUCUAGAGAUAGAUUGGUGCCUUCGGGAACGCAGUGACAGGUGCUGCAUGGCUGUCGUCAGCUCGUGUUGUGAAAUGUUGGGUUAAGUCCCGUAACGAGCGCAACCCUUGUCCUUAGUUGCCAUCAUUUAGUUGGGGACUCUAAGGAGACUGCCGGUGACAAACCGGAGGAAGGUGGGGAUGACGUCAGGUCAUCAUGGCCCUUACGGCCAGGGCUACACACGUGCUACAAUGGUGCGUACAGAGGGCUGCAAACCCGCGAGGGGGAGCUAAUCUCACAAAGCUUGUCGUAGUCCGGAUUGGAGUCUGCAACUCGACUCCAUGAAGUCGGAAUCGCUAGUAAUCGUGAAUCAGAAUGUCACGGUGAAUACGUUCCC
rnacentral:rRNA from 1 species